AAGUUGAAAUAAGGUGGAUAUAAGGAUUGAAUUGGAGUUAAAGUAGAGAAGAAGGAGGUAGGGAGUGAAGUUAACAUAAGACGGGGACAAGGAUAGGAUUAAAGUUGGGAUAAAGAAGGAGAAAAGAGAAAGGAAAGGAGGGAGAGAGGAGAGAAGAAGAGGUGUAUAGAAUUAGGACAUAAUAGAAACAAGAGAUAGAAACAAAAGAGGUAGGUUAGAAAUAAAGUUAAGAAUAAGGAUAGGUAUAGAAUGGAUUAUGAUGUGACAAAGGAGAUUGUGGCUUUAAU
rnacentral:lncRNA from 1 species